UACGAAAGGGGCUAGCGUUGUUCGGAAUUACUGGGCGUAAAGCGCACGUAGGCGGCCUUGUAAGAUGGGGGUGAAAUCCACGGGCUCAACCCGGGAACUGCGUUCAUGAAUGCAAAGCUAGAGGAUGCGAGAGGUUAGCGGAAUUCCGAGUGUAGAGGUGAAAUUCGUAGAUAUUCGGAAGAACACCAGUGGCGAAGGCGGCUAACUGGCGCAUUUCUGACGCUGAGGUGCGAAAUCGUGGGGAGCAAACUGG
rnacentral:rRNA from 1 species